UCACUUCAGUAAUGUAUAUACUAAAAUUAGAAUAAUACAGAGAAGAUUAGCAAAGCCCCUGCACAAAAAUGACACGUAAAUUCGUGAAGCAUUCCAUAUUUUU
ensembl:snRNA U6 U6 spliceosomal RNA